UUGUCCUACCUUUGUUCUCAGCGCUUGUUCUCGCUCUCUCUUGCAACCAUCAUCUCUCCGCAGGUCAGAACAAAUGUGUUCAUCCAUGCCCCAGGGAAGCUCUCCAUCACCUUCAUCCCAUGUCAUUUCCUACCAGGUCGUCCCACUCCCUCUCAUCCGUCGCCCUGAGUGCAGUGCAAUGCCGGGCACGUGGUCCAUUUCAGACAAUAGACCCAGGGAGGCAUUUCUACAGUUGUGAUAGCCAUGGUAUAGGAGGAUGCAGGUUCUGGAAGCAAAAGAACAAGUAUAUACAGUACCUGGGCGUCAGUUGGAGCCACAAUCGCCAUGCCUCACUUCUCGGAGAGAAUCAAGCCUGGCUAGAGAACAUGUUAAUCUUGUGCAUUGCCAAUCUUGUCGCCGUUGUCGUGCUCUUCAUCAGCUAGCAGAGCAAGUCCACCAGUUCGUCAGCUAGCCACUCCAUAGCUAGAACAUAUAUAUUUUGCAUCAAGUCCUCUCCAUGUUUCUCCAAGUACCAUCAUGCUUGCUCACCUACCGCGCUCCAGAGCCUGUGUUUAUGGUUGUUGUGCCAAUAAUUUUGGUUGAUUUGUUGCACUUA